UCUUGUUUCGAUUGAUCUCUACGAUCGAAAUCGUUCAAGUCGUAGGGCUUGCGAAGAAAAGAAACAAUGUUAAAGAUCGUUUGAAUCGAAUUCUGAACGAUUCAUAAUGGGAGAUGAUCAAUGUGAAUUUGUUUUUAUGAAAAUAGACUUGGCUAUACAGUAUCAAGCCCAUUAUGACAAAGAUUAAAAAUUCACUCCGGGACGUCCCCGACGGAGAGAGAGAGAGAGAGAGAGAGAGAGAGAGAGACAGGGGAGGGAGGGAGAGGGAGAGAGAGAGAUUGUGGUUGUUCAGCAGAGAAGCAACUACUCGGCUGAUCACUACUCCAUUGUAACAGCAAAACAGGUGAGAAAAGAGAAGAAAGGAUAAAGUCUGGGAUAAAAGAAGAGAGAACAAGAGAAUGAGAAGCAUAAUGGUUUGUUUCCACCUUACUUGAGUAAUUCAUGAGAUAAAGAAGAGCCAGAAAUGUUAUCCUUGUUAUUGUCUUGUUCGGAAAAUAUAAACGAGAGAUUGUAGAAGAGAAGAUAUUUGUAUUUUGCGAGGAAGAGGGGGAAAGACUGAAAUAAUUGCAAAUCUCUGGUUUGUUCAAAAACUGAACAAAUGGACUAAGAGAAUCCAUUAUCUUGUAAACUAUGUUUGUAACUUGUAAGCUAUGGUUUGUUCGCAAAUCUAUCCUCUUUCCAAAUCUUUUGGAGAGAUUCAAAAACUGAGUUGUAACUUGUAUCCUAUAAAGCUACGCGUAUCUAUGAAGUUGUGAAAUUUUAGUUAUUAGUAGUGGCAUAAAACUACCAGUAAGUUUUUUCUCUUGAAUUCUUUCAUCCUUUUUGGCCGGGCUUGGGAGACGUCAAGUGUAUGAACUAUGAAUUUAUUUGAACCAGCACCUUUCAAUGUAUUUUCAAACUGAGCUAGCGAUUACAGUAAAUACGCAAUAGUGAUAUCCUACACACAUUUUUGUUUGGGACGUAAUACUAGUCUCAUUUUUAUUGGCUGAAUCAGGUUCUCUUAUGAUUUCCAGUGUGUAAGUUACGCAAUUUAUGUUGUAGGCUUUGUUAAACAUCUGUCAACAAUGGCAAGGAUAGGCUCAAGCUGUGGUUGCGCCUGCAGCAAUUCGUUUUACCCUUCUUCCAAUCAUCCAAUCAGGAUCAAAGAAGUCAAGGAUAUAACACUUGUUCGCUGGAAGUAAUGAACACAAAGCUACUUGGUGAAGCAUGAGAGAUACCUUUCUUGAAAUGGCAUCUAGAAACAGCAAAUCUAGGACUAAGAGUUGGCUUUAUCUGCAUUGUUUAAGCUACCAUGUUGCCAUGAAAACAAGAACUGCGCCUGCGCAGCUGGUGGGGUUCCUCUUCAUCUGAAGUAACCUUUUCGUUCCAUCUACACACGCCAUAGUCGCAAAAUGCUAUGGAGUCCUUGAAAAACUUGCUUCAAACGGCAAUGGAACGGAAUUCUCUGUUGAUGAAACCGGGCAGGGAAGUUGCUGCAGCUUAGCUCAGGCUGUAUUAGCGCAGAUUAGUUUGUUUUGGCAGGGAAGUUAGCUAGCUAAUUCCUUGAAUGAAAGAGUGCUGAGGAAGCCAUUAGGCAGUUUGAAGGAAAAUGCAAAUCAAGAUGAUUCCUUGAAGGAAUCAUGGAUGUCAUCGCAACUUUAAGUAUGAAAUACGAUUAGAGUGCGUACAAGAACACAAAAUCCAGAAGGCGAUCGUGAGAAUUCCUCUCACGUGCAACAGAAGUCCCCUUUGGUUUCAUCUAAUUUCAUCCAAACUCGGUACACUGAGAUUGAUUUCCCUAGAUUUGUAGGAGAUGACCCAGCGGGGUGGAUUUACAAGUGAGAGAUUCUUUGAAUUCAAUCAGGUUGAGGAAUGACGUAGAGUGAAGCUACUAGCUAUGCAUUUGGAUGAGAAGGCGAUUCUCAGUGGUUUCAGUAGUUUGAGAAAUCCAGAAAAUCUUGUGGUGGAAGGAUUUUGUUUAUUAGUUGUACAAACACAUGAUGGAGCCAAAGUGACUUUAUAUUUAAAAGUUUAACUUUUUGUAACAAAAAUUGAUAAAAAAAAAAAAAAAACUUAUAAACUC